AUUCCAGCUCCAAUAGCGUAUAUUAAAGUUGUUGCAGUUAAAAAGCUCGUAGUUGGAUUUCUGGCCGAGUGUCCCCAGGCCAGCAUGACGUUUGGUCCUGGGCGCUCUGCCAUCCUUCUGUCAACCUUCGCCUCGUUCAUUCGUGGCGCUGGGGCUCAGAUAUUUUACCUUGAGAAAAUUAGAGUGUUUCAGGCAGGCUUUCGCCGGAAUACAUUAGCAUGGAAUAAUGGAAAAGGACUUCAACCUCUUCUGUUGGUCUGAGAGGCUGUAGUAAUGAUUAAUAGGGAUAGUUAGGGGCAUUAGUACUUAACUGUCGGAGGUGAAAUUCUCCGAUUUGUUAAAGACUAACUUAUGCGAAAGCAUUUGCCAAGGAUGUUUUCAUUA
rnacentral:rRNA from 1 species